GGGACGUUGGAGGGGUGGCCGCAUGGAGUGAGUACUGUCUCUGGCCACCGAGCAGAGCCAGUGACAGCAGCGUCCUGGUAGGCAGGCAGGCGUAUCAGGUUUCAGAGGAUGCGGCUGGGAACGGGAGUAGAGGUGAGGGGUCGUUGCAUCUGUCGCGGUGUGUAUCUUUUGGGGGUUCAGCGCCACCAGCGACUUGGGCCUCAUUCAUCGCGCUUACAUUUCUCCACCUCAUUUGAAGAACGAGCUUCGUAGCCCACGGAGCUGAGGUAUAUGAGCUCCCUGAAAGCACAAAGCAGUUAUUUCCAUCUUCAGAUCAUUCAGAGAUUAUGAAGGCACAAACCCUGCCUUCAAUUUGCUUAUAGUCAAGUGGAGCAGACACAAGUCAAUGAUUGCAGUAUAGCCACUGAAGUAAUCUAAAAGAGACUUAUCAGCAGGUUGCAGGUGAACAUGGCCUUGAGGUAAAUCUGUCCCUUGCUGAAUACAGUUUCAGUAGAUUGUUUAUAGUAGUUUCAGGAAUUGAGAUUUUUUACAAAAAUACAAAAGUUUUGCUUGGUUCUGUUCUAGAUGUUUUCUUCUAAAUAAAUGAGAAAGAUGUUUCAACAAAGGCUCUUUAUGCUGAAUAAUUGUGAUGCUUGAAGUUGCUAAUCUGCUUUAAGUGGAUUUUAAAUGUCAGGCAAUUCUAGACAGUUUUUUCUUGGUCAAAUAAAAAUUUAAUUAAAACUUUA
rnacentral:lncRNA from 10 species